ACAGCAGUAGCCACGGUAAUACGAAGGGUGCAAGCGUUACUCGGAAUUACUGGGCGUAAAGCGUGCGUAGGUGGUGGUUUAAGUCCGUUGUGAAAGCCCUGGGCUCAACCUGGGAAUUGCAGUGGAUACUGGGUCACUAGAGUGUGGUAGAGGAUAGUGGAAUUUCCGGUGUAGCAGUGAAAUGCGUAGAGAUCGGAAGGAACAUCUGUGGCGAAGGCGACUAUCUGGGCCAACACUGACACUGAGGCACGAAAGCGUGGGGAGCAAACAGGAUUAGAUACCCCAGUAGUCCCUGUCUCUUAUAC
rnacentral:rRNA from 1 species